rnacentral:lncRNA from 1 species
UGGGGUUAAAUUUCGUACAACUCCCUGUAAACAUAUCGAAUAGCAAAUAUAUCCUUAAAAAGUUUAAUUUUUCAUAUUUAUCUCUGCAAAGGUCCAAUGAUAUUCAUAUUUGUCCCUCUAGUUUGUUACCGUUAAAGUACUGUUUAUUUUUUAACAGAGAAAAAGUGAAAUAAUAUUUUUUGCUAUCACAAAUAUGUCCCUCAAUAAUAAUGAGGGAGAAUAAUAAGCAAAAGUCUCAACUGCUAGAAUUAUGAAAAAAUAUUCUUUAAAAAAUUUGCAAAGGUCAUCUUCUUUCUUUAUGCCAUCACAAAUAAUAUAAGAGGAGUAAAAAGGUCAAUUAAUCUUAUUCACUAAUUAGGGUUAAGUACUUUACUUGUGGUUAACUAUAUUUUUCUAAUGGAUUCUAAUAACAGGGUAUAUUUGAAAAUGUUAGAACUGUUGCAGAAAUAAAUAUGAAAAGCUGAAUUUUAUAGGGUGUGUUCGUUAUUUGAUAUGUUUACAGGGAGCUGCAUGCAAUUAACU